CUGUGGGAGAAGGUAGAGGAAGGCCAUGAAAGUCAGGAGAAUGAAAAAAAGGAGACGAGUAAAACUAACAGGAACUGGAAGUUAAAAUUUGGGUCUUUGACAAGAGCUGGAGUGGGAGAUACAGAGGGUCAACAGAUGCAUUCAUCUGAGAAAAACUCGACCCGACGACGGCUGAGCAAGCUGUUCAGGAGGAGUAGGAAAACUCUGCCUGUGUCAUGAUGUUUGGACAUUUUAGUUUCAGUUCUGAAGAGGAGGAAGCUUUCCUUUAAAGGUCUAAACACUGUCGCUGCUUUCAAACUGACUUCCUGUUCAGUCCAUGUGAUUUAGCAAUCUACCAUGUUUAUUUAUUGUCUGCUGUAUACUUGCCUUUAUUUUUAUACUUAUAAAUAAUAUGA